CGCAGAGUACCCGCAUUGUAACACAGUUUACUCGCGUGUGAUUUGUUUUUCGAAGGUUUGCUUAGUUUAAGCCUGAAACUCGAUACAGAUUUUAUUUCUAUUAUGCUGCACUACAUGUCUGUCCGGCCUACUUAAAACGCUUUCCAGACGAGUUCUGAAGUGAGUCGGAUUAAUAUUCCGUAAUGCGACAGAAGAAGUCCACACUUUCGCUCCAUAGACCCAAACAUAAACGAACUGGAAGAAAUACCACUAAACGAGGCAUGCAAACUGAUUUAAACCGUGAAACAAAAAAGCGGAAAACAUAUUUCCCCAUCAAAAUUGUUUUCUUCAGCAAAAUGCCAUACACAAGUACUUCUCCAAGGAAUGACACCAGUUCUAUCUCCUUUGAAAUCACCAUUCCGUUCCCCUCUCUACAAGGUUUCGCCACCAAAAUACAAUUGAAAUUGCCUGAACUGUAAUAGUGAGAAUUAGAAUCAAUGUAUAAUAUGUUAGUUUGACAAUUUUAUUGAAGUUAUCGUUGUCGCUGUGUUGUCACGUGUAUGUAAGUCAUUCGAAACCGUCAAAUAGUUUACGUGUGAUGUCUUCUUUUUUCACCACAAGCAUAAUAGUACAUUGCUUUUUUAUAUAUUCAGUUUGUGUAAACCGACGAAUAGGUGAAUAAAAAGAAACUAUUAUGUAUUUAUUUUGAUUUUAUUCAUCACAGACUAUUUAUCACUAUUUUGUAAAUUUAU